rnacentral:rRNA from 2 species
ACAUGCCGCUGACCGGUGCAGAGAUGCAUCUUUAUCCUUCCGGGGUACGAGCGGACGACAGGUGGUGCAUGGUUGUCGUCAGCUCGUGUCGUGAGAUGUUGGGUUAAGUCCCGCAACGAGCGCAACCCUUGUCUUUAGUUGCCAUCAUUAAGUUGGGCACUCUAAAGAGACUGCCGAUGACAAAUCGGAGGAAGGUGGGGAUGACGUCAAAUCAUCAUGCCCUUUAUGUCCUGGGCUACACACAUGCUACAAUGGUCGGUACAACGAGAAGCAAGUCAGCGAUGGCAAGCAAAUCUCUAAAAGCCGAUCCCAGUUCGGAUUGCAGGCUGCAACUCGCCUGCAUGAAGUCGGAAUCGCUAGUAAUCGCAGGUCAGCAUACUGCGGUGAAUACGUUCCCGGGCCUU